rnacentral:lncRNA from 1 species
CACUGAACUUGCCUGCAAUCCAUGCUCUGAAUUCUCCAUCUGCAUCUCUGUGCCUCCUUUUCUGCUAGGGACCAUUGCUAGAGAGCUACUGUGAGCCUCUGGUGAUGUCACAAUAUUCAGACAGAAUUCUCACACUGGUUCCUUCUCAUCUGGAGAUGGCUGUAGUGGGCAGGCUGUUUUGGCUCUGCUUCUACAGACCUAUGCAGCAGGUUUUGUAUUGGGUUCAACCUACAGGCCAAUAGAUGACAUUUGCAGGUGAAGAGCUGGAUAGUGGGGUUCCUGGUGUUCCGUGGAAGAGGCCGGACACAAUUGGGCAGAGCUGGAGCCUCUGGCUUGCCCAUGUGUAUCCCAAUGGCAAGCACAGGCACCAGCCCUGAAAAGGGUGGCUGGGAGAUGCUCUUAGGGACAUGCCCCAGAGAUCUCUGUGUGGGGCAGAGUGAGGAGGCUUCACUGGCUCCCGCAUGGUAGACAGACAUGAACAGAAUCUAUUUCCCUAUCACACCCAUUGCAGGUACUUCAGAUGCACACUGUAGUCUAUCUCCAGACCACAGUGUGGUUGAUUGAAAGCCUCAGGAAACCUUGUUUUCCAGAAGAAAAUAAACUUGAUGUUUUCUUUGGGCCUAUCAUUAUCAUCACUAUGAUUAUCAUGUACAGUUUGCUUGAAUUUACCACAAAAUUCAAUGCUUGCUUAAUAUUAAAA